UGGGUUCCGCUGGGAUAGAGCUUCAAUUCUUUUGGUCGAUGCUGCAAAAUGGUAAUGGCGCCUGGGAUAAAGCCAUUUAUGCUAAAUAUAUCCUCACUGAAUCAUAUUUUUACAGAAUUUUGUAGUACUAAUGUAUUUGAAAUGAUAUACAAGUCGGUCCGGUGGUUUUUGUUUAAGCAUCAUAGAUUUGAAAGCAUGCUACUCAUAUCAGGUUGCUAAUAUACUUGGACAAUAUCCUGAUCUUAUGGAGGGCUUCAAUGACUUUAUAGAUCGUUAUGAACGAGUUGUUGUACUUCUUGCAGAUGAGAGUAAGGAAGAACGGAAUGAGAAGAAGUGUAAAACUGAGGCUCCAACAAAAGAAGCUAUCAGCUUUCUGAAGAAAGUAAAGGUUAUUCUCUUGCCUUCUUAUUUCAUGAUAAACUUCUACACUUUUUUAUUUUUCUUUUGCUAGUUACUAUCUAAAUGCAUUGCAGGUAUAUCUCAUAAGCGUCUGUCUUAUAAAGUUAAUAUAAAGACUAAAAACAAGAAAAUGUGUAUUUCAAAAUGUUACUCCUUUCGAAUGUGAACUUAGAGUAUUGGAAUAAAAACUUGGAUACUUUAAAAAGAGAUUCAUUGCUGCUAUUAUGUCAUCAUACGAGUAAAUAGUGAAGUUCUUAUUAAUUAAAAGCUUACCGGAUCCCUAACGUAACUGCAAGGGAAUACUGAGGUUCUUUAAUUAAUUGAAAAUGGUUAAAUAAUGGGCAUGUUGUUGGCUUAUUAAUGAAUAAAAGGAAAUUAUGAACUUUUUAAGCAAUAUGUAAUUAUUGCGAUUUUAUCCAACAUGAAAUGCACUUAUGAAGAACAAAAAUUUGAUCCACAUUUCUAUUGGAGUCUCGUGCAUUUAUAAUAGUAUAGAUAUAGAUAGAUAAACCCUAAGUAGUAAUUUAAUUGUUGGGGUUAUCACUUCGUGCAGGAACAUUUCCAAAACGAUGAUCAUGCUUACCAAUCCUUCCUAGAUAUCAUAAAGACGUACAAGGAGCCCAGGAGCAUCUAUGAAGUCUACCAUGAGGUUGCCAAACUUCUCAAUGACCAUCCAGAUUUGCUUUCUGAGUUCACUAAAUUCUUGCCAGAUCCUUAAGCUAUUUCCAUGCUUAGGCAAUAUCUUGAUCAGUAAACCAUCCUCUUUAGUUCCUUAUAAUGCUAUUGCCAUGAUUAAAUCUUGCUAAUUAUGAGUUGUACUUUAUAUUCUUAAAGAACUCUCAGGGAGAUUGGUUGGUUGCUAUGGAAUUCCUUGUCCCGUUUUUUAUGAAUAGAGAUUUUGUAUUAUUAGCGUCAGUUAUUGCUAAAUGGUUUAU